rnacentral:lncRNA from 1 species
AUUUGCUGAGGGCAUUUGCUCAGGACACUCCAGCUCCACUAGCCUUUUCCAGCUCCUCCAGCACUACGCUGACCUCCUUCCAACUCAUCCAACACAUCAAACUACUUCCUGCCUCAGAGCCUUCCCUCUGCUUGGACAUCUUUUUCUCCAUUUCUUGCUUGACCAACUUGUUUCUACUCAACUUCCAGAUUCCUGUUUUAAGGUUGGUUUUAAGAGCAGCCUUCUGAGAUCCUCCCAAGGUCAAGGGUUAGUCACCUGGUAAGAAGCUGCCAAUUGCAAAUAAGAGUGUGCACUUGCUGGAUGUCUUCUGUUUGCUCUCUUGACCCACCUUCUACCAUUCCCCACCUUCUUCUUUGCCUCCGGAAGGGAGCUUUCUGGACUGCACCAACAAGCUACUUUGUCCUCUGGCUUGUCCUCGGAUUCAGUCAGUGGGAGGUACCCACAAGGUGACUUAGAAGGCAGAAGAGGAAUGAGCACUUGGUCAUGUAAACAGAUCAUUGUCGUUUUCAAUGUGAAGUUACUUGGCUGCCUUGGAAAAAAGAUUGGAUCCCAUUAUGUUGCCCAGGUUGGCCUCAAACUCCCAGGCUCAAGUGAUCCUCCCGCCUCAGCCUCCUAAGUAGCUGGGACUACAG